rnacentral:lncRNA from 1 species
AAGAAACUACCGAAAAACAGCAGUCACAGAAGUCCCUUGUACAUCUCGAAGCUGAAAACUUACAGAAAGCAAUCUGUAAUACUGGGAUGACCCACACCUGUUCACUCAUAUAUCCUGCCUAGCAAGAGAAAAGUCACAAUAGCAGAAGAUUAAAUCAAAGAACAAAAAAACUUUUUAGGUUCUGUGGCAGUUGAUGUUUACAUCUUAAAAUACAGAGUGGAAUGGAGCAGAGAGAACAACAUCAGGAAAGAGGAGAACAGGAAAUUGAAAUUUAAGGACAUUGUAAGGGAGAACAAAAAUAGUAAGCAACACAAAAUAAUUAUGUAGACAGUACUGAAAAAGACAUUUUUUUUUGUUUAAAUAUAGUUACUGUUCUACAAAUCAUCCUUGCAUCCACGUAGUGUUUCUUGUUUGUUUGUUUGUUUGUUUGUUUGUUUGUUUUUUCCUAGAAUCAAGCAUUAGGAAGACAGCUUUGGUUUUAAUUGACAUUUUUCUUUUACUUAC